UCCAAGGCCAGUGUCUCCGCCUCACGGCAGCACUGAAUUUAGCGCUGAGUCAGAGAAAGAACUAAGACUGUGACCACAGAUGGGUGGCUCUGGGGAGCAUGUUAACCCUUUUGGGAGACAAGGGUAAACCACUUGUUAUAAACCGCACUGCGCUUACAGAGGUCAAAACCCAAUCUGAGUACUUCCCGUGUGAAGGAAAACUGACUUUUAAUGAACAGAUUUUAUGUUUUCAGGAUAACAAUGCUCUAAGAUGACAACCAAAGAAGCCAAAAUCAAAACACUCCCAAGAAGCUACAGGCACACUGUCCUAACGACCUUCUCCAUUUUGAAACCAGAGAAACAAACUGGACAGGGCAAAUAUGACCUAGAUUCGACCAGGGCUCUUCUGUGCAAAUAAGGAAGAAAAAUUAUACAUCCCCAGUGACAGUUCAGUUCAGACAGACCCACAAAGGGGUCUAGCCCGGACAGGAGGACCAUAAAGAUUCAUUAAGAGCCAAGAUGGCCAAGGUCCUGGGACACUCUGGGGUGACAAGCUACCUCCCUGGAAACUCGUGACUUUGUCUAACUCCAGCUGACGAUGUACGUGACAGACUGAAA